GAUCCUGGCUCAGGAUGAACGCUGGCGGCGUGCCUAAUACAUGCAAGUCGAGCGAGAACUUCAGAAGUUGCGAUUAUCAAGACAGAAGAAGGGAAAGCGGCGGACGGGUGAGUAACGCGUAGGCAACCUGCCCCUGGCAGAGGGAUAGCCAUUGGAAACGAUGAUUAAAACCUCAUAACGCCGGAAGCACACAUGUGCAUCCGGCCAAAGAUUUAUCGGCUGGGGAUGGGGCCUGCGUCUGAUUAACUGGUUGGUGAGGUAACGGCUCACCAAGGUAACGAUCAGUAGCCGACCUGAGAGGGUGAUCGGCCACAUUGGAACUGAGACACGGUCCAAACUUCUACGGAAGGCAGCAGUAAGGAAUCUUGUACAAUGGGGGAAACCCUGAUGCAGCAACGCCGCGUGAACGAUGAAGGCCUUCGGGUUGUAAAGUUCUGAUCUUGGGGAAGAAGGAAGUGACGGUACCCAAGGAGAAAGCCCCGGCUAAAUACGUGCCAGCAGCUGC
rnacentral:rRNA from 1 species